rnacentral:lncRNA from 1 species
GUGGUCCGCCAAUACAGUAGAUGAUGCUGAUGUCACUAGCAGGUGUGUAGAUGAUGCUGAUGUCACUAGCAGGUGGGUAGACGAUGCUGAUGUCACUAGCAGGUGUGUAGAUGAUGCUGAUGUCACUAGAAGGUGUGUAGAUGAUGCUGAUGUCACUGGCAGGUGUGUAGAUGAUGCUGAUGCCACUACCAGGUGAGGAGGAGCAUGAUGUCACUAGCAGAUGUGUAGAUGAUGCUGAUGUCACUAGCAGGUGUGUAGACGAUCCUGAUGUCACUAGCAGUUGAGGAGGAGCAUGAUGUCACUAGCAGGUGUGUAGAUGAUGCUGAUGUCACUAGCAGGUGUGUAGACGAUCCUGAUGUCACUAGCAGGUGAGGAGGAGCAUGAUGUCACUAGCAGGUGUGUAGAUUUUGAAAGGUAUCUUUUCUUUUUUUUUUUUUUUUGUUCAGCCAUUUUGUCAGUGUCUCCGCCUGUAUGUAGGUGCUUUAUAUAGACUUGAUUGUAUUGAUUGGUAAUCCAAAACAGAUGACAAUUAUUAGGUUAAACGUUCAGAAUACGAUUCCAUAUAAGGUUACAUUUUAGCACUUCGCGAAUGGACAGCGACUCCUAAGUAGCACGUAGAGCGCGUUCUCGCGCGUUCAUGUUAAGUGCAUUUUUGGGAAACGCUCGUGGAAUUGCUGCGAGCGUUCGUAAGUUUGCACGUAGAAAACGCUCUUAAGAGCUAAGAUACAUCGUUAUCGGGAAACCCGGCCCAGGUUAGUGAAGCGGCGUUUUUAUACUUUUGCCAUCAUCCUUUUAUACUGCUCUCUUUCUGGCUUAAGUCACACAAAAUUAACAGACAUUUAAAGUUAUCAAUAAAAUCCACAACAAUGUAGGAAAUACGAGCAGUUGAACAAACAUCUGUUGUACAAGCAGAAUUCAAAUUAUAAUGGUUUGUAGGUUAUUUCACUUUGAAUUGAUGUUCAUAAAUGCAUAAAUGUGAUAGUAAAUUUCCAAACUAAUGAGGUUUUUUUUUUUUAUUAAAGUGUUAUAUUCAACACAAAAUAAUACAUUUAUUCCCACGUAGGAGGGGACGUUCUCGCGACCUUGUGCAAGGUUCCCUAAAAGUUAUCUAAAGGUAACGAAAGUUCCGAACCUUUACAGAAGAUUAGGGACGUUCUUGGUCCUCACUCGCCUCUGACGCUCGGCGGCGCGUCUCCGCCCCUCACACGCGCGUUUACAGCGCUAAUUAAUUAGAACUAUUAAUAGUUGUGCUACCAAAUAUUAUUUUGGAAUCUGCGAUACUUUUUUAAGGAUUCUUCGAUGUAUAUAUAUUUUUUUUAAAUAACAGCAUUCAUUCAAAAUAGAAAUCUCUUCUAACAAUAUUAAUCUUUGAUAUCACUUCUUAUCAAUUUAACACAUCCUGAAUAAAAGAUUGUAAAAUCUAAUAAAGAAUACAAUUUCUUAUAAAAAAAGAAAGGAUAAAAAUUUACUGACCCCAAACUUUUGAACUAUAGUGAAUAUUGUUAGAAAAUAUUUAUAUUUUAAAUAAAUGUUCUUCUUUUUAACUUUUUAUUCAUCAAAGAAUCCUGAAAAAACUAUCACAGGUUCCAAAAUAAUAUUUAUCAGCAAAACUGUUGAUAAUUCUAAUAAUAAAUCAUCAUAUUAUUCUGAUUUCUGAAGAUCAUGUGACACUGAAGACUGGAGGAAAGAUGCUUAAAAUACAGCUGCACAUCACAUGAAUAAAUUACACCAUGUAUAUUAAAAUAGAAAAAUGUUAAUAAUAUUUCACAAUAUUACAUGUUUUACAGUAUUUUUGAUCAAAUAAAUGCUGUCUUGAUGAGUAAAAUAAAUUCCUGUAAAAAAACAUUAAAAAUCAUUCUGAUCCCAAACUCUGAC